rnacentral:rRNA from 1 species
CGUGCCUAAGACAUGCAAGUCGAACGUGAUUGGGGAGCUUGCUCCUCAUGAAAGUGGCGCACGGGUGAGUAACGCGUAGAUAAUCUACCUGAUGAUUUGGGAUAACACUUCGAAAGGGGUGCUAAUACCGAAUAAGCCCACGGAGUCCUUGGACACUGCGGGAAAAGGAGGGGACCUUCGGGCCUUCCGUCAUCAGAUGAGUCUGCGUACCAUUAGCUAGUUGGUAGGGUAAAGGCCUACCAAGGCGACGAUGGUUAGCUGGUCUGAGAGGAUGAUCAGCCACACUGGAACUGAGACACGGUCCAGACUCCUACGGGAGGCAGCAGUGGGGAAUUUUGCGCAAUGGGGGAAACCCUGACGCAGCAACGCCGCGUGAGUGAUGAAGGCCCUUGGGUCGUAAAGCUCUGACAGAGGGAAAGAAAUGUGGGUGGCUAAUAUCCAUUCCACUUGACGGUACCCUCAAAGGAAGCACCGGCUAACUCCGUGCCAGCAGCCGCGGUAAUACGGAGGGUGCGAGCGUUGUUCGGAUUUAUUGGGCGUAAAGCGCGUGUAGGCGGUUUUAUAAGUCUGAUGUGAAAGCCCUGGGCUCAACCUGGGAAGUGCAUUGGAUACUGUAAGACUUGAAUACGGGAGAGGGUAGUGGAAUUCCUGGUGUAGGAGUGAAAUCCGUAGAUAUCAGGAGGAACACCGGUGGCGAAGGCGGCUGCCUGGACCGAUAUUGACGCUGAGACGCGAAAGCGUGGGUAGCAAACAGGAUUAGAUACCCUGGUAGUCCACGCCGUAAACGAUGAGUACUAGGUGUUGCGGGUAUUGACCCCUGCAGUGCCGCAGCUAACGCAUUAAGUACUCCGCCUG